UAAAAGGCACUUUUGGAUAUUUGAGAGAAUAGAUAUGCUGAAGCAUUUCUAGCGUCUUCUCUCCACCGAGAGUCAUAUUCUUGUGCUUCUUCCACCUUAUCCUCUAGCUUCCUUCCAAUGGUGAAGGCCUUCUGAGUUAUAUCCAUACCUCCAAAAGCACUUCAAACCAUUUCACCGAAUCAUAUCAACACUCCUCCGCUGCGCAUCCAUUUUACCUUACUCCAUUUCAUCCGGUGUUGCUGUCUUUGUCUUGGAAGCUCAUGGACCUACUACAUAGCUCAAGGAUGGAGUUAUCAUUUGGUAUUCAGAGCAAGGUUUCAGCCGCUACUGCCGUGAGCUAAGUUUUCCUUUUAAUCCAUACUGUCAAACACUUUGUUUUCUCCGUUUCUUUGCAUCGAGUGUGUACUGUUCCAUUGGUGUUCUGAUUCCACUAGUUUCCUUCGAGUUAUUUUCUUUGUGCCAACUUUAUUUUGAUUUCAUUUUCAUCAUUUUAUUCGGCCAAAUCAUAUUUGAGUCUUUUAAUUUUUGCAAUCUAUUCAGUUUUGUUAAAAGUCAUGUGUAAUUGCUUAUGUUGUUUUCACAAAUUCUGGUUCUAAAGUCGUGUGGUCUUGUAUCUGUUAAAUUUGAAUGAAUUCAACAUUCUUUGCACAAUUAAAAGAGCUAUGACAGUCUCUAUGAGGAGCUCAAGUGUAUGAAAUGUGUUGAUCAUUUCAGAUUUGUGAUUGAAUCCAGUGUGUAAAGUUGAAUCUGUGUGAAUGUGAUUCAAAUUUGUAACUGCACCAUGUGUGUUUGAGUCUGACUGAUAAUCUGGAUUGCCUUUGUGGAAUGUUGUAAAUUGUGCAUACCAAAUGAACAGUGUUUUGUUUCACUGAAUGAGUUGGAUGCAUCAUCUCACAAGGUCCAGAAAACAAAGUCUAGCAGAUUGGCCGAGUUGCAUCUUCUUACCUUGAGUCUUUUCUGUUUUCAAAUCUGAUUCAGUUUAGAAUUCGGUGCUGAAUGUUCUAAUUCCAUUUCUAAUGUCUUCAUCAAGUUUGUUUUGUUGUAUUGGAGUCUAAUUAAGUGCUUAGAUUCCAUUUGAUUCCAUGUGCUUGAAAUUGGAUGGUGUAGUUGCUUGAAUUAGCGUUAAAAGAGGAACUCAACCAGUGAAUUUCUGAAACAUUGAUAAUUAGCCUCAAUUGGCAGCACAAACAAGUUUAUAUCCCUCAUUUGGAUUUGCCUGUGUUGCAAAAUUUAAGUGUUUACUAAUCUGGUGCAAAUUCCUCUUCCAACCCAUCAAUUUCAGCCCCUAAUUUUUCUGAUACAAGUUUUUUUCUCUGCAUUAAUGUUUGUUGUUUUGGAACAUCAAUAAUUGAGUAAGAAUUGGUAGCAAAAGCUUGGUUUAAAUGUAACAUAAAGAUCUGCUCAAAAGUCAAAAGAAAAAUAACCAGCAGAAACAAAAAGCUGAUUCAAACCGUGCCAACUCUGGUUUGGUUGAUGUACCAGUUUCAGAAAAACUCAUUCAGGCAUUUUAACAAACAGUUUUGCCUAAUUUUCAUUUGAGUUUAAAUUUAAUCUUAUACAACUUGUAACCGUUUUCUUGCUUUUUAAAUCUACUCUAGAGCAUUUUUUAGGAUCAUUUUGUUGUGCCUCCGUGUUUGAAUUCCAUUUUAUUGCUUUAUUUCCAUUGUUGGAACUCUUGCCUACCACCUGUUUGUUAAAAGGUGCUGUAGUGCAGUUUCUGUGUUGAACACUUUCUACCAGCAACAACGUUUUGUGCACUAAUCUCUGGAAGGAUUUGUGAUCUGGUUGAAGUGUCAUCACAGGGGAAAUUGAUCCAGCUGAGAUCCUAAACCAUUGGUAGCACAUUAGGGAGUGGAUAAGUGGCGGAAAACACAAAGGAGCUUGACUCUCGGUGCUGCAGAAACUGAAUCCGGAACUGCAUAAUUGCUGCUACAGCAGCUGUUGUUGUGUGUGUCAAACCUGAUCCUACAUCCAAAAUUAACAGCUCCACUUUCAGCAACUAAUGCUUUGGGAAUGUUUGAAGAAAAACAACCUUGUAGAUUACAGUCUACAUGCAACUGCAGAAUCAUAAAGAAUGCUAUGCAGAUUUGAACUGGAAAAUGUCAUAUAAUUAGCUGCAGCAGAGUCAUCAAGCUGAACUGGUUGAGCGUUGGAACAACUAUUACAGCAGAAUGCAAAGUGAGAGCAAAGUUGGAUGCAUUCUCCACAUCAAUUGUGCACAACCGAGAGCAAAAGUUUUGAAAGGCAAAGGAGAAUUUGUAAGGCUGCAACAGAAAACUGAAAAGGAAAGUGAAACCACAAGCUAGGAGACUCCAAAAGUAGCCAACACAUGAAUUUGAACAUAAACCAGAAUGUGGCAGCCACUGUUCUUAGCUUCCUUUGUAAUUGUUUUGUUCAUUUUGGUUAGGUUUUCUGUGUUAGAUUUCUUUAAAUUGUAAAAGGCCAUUCAAAGUCCAAGUUGUCUUGGAAGAGUCCUUGGUGCUCUCUUGGCAAAACUUUUCUUGUGUGUUUUAAUUUUUGUUACACAUUUAGGAGUUACAUUAGAGUCCGACAUUAGAGUCCUA